UACUUGCAGUCAUUCUGAAAAAUGAAAAUUUUUGUGCUGCCACUACAAGUAUCAAAGUAGAAGGCUAUAUUUAUUGUACUAAUUGUGGAUCACUUUCUCAGAGUGGCAUUUUCAAUGCCAAGGUAAACCUGGUUUGUCCAAGAGACAGUGAUUCAUCAUUUACAAAUAAUAGAGGAUACUUUAAUAUCUUUAAAUUAGUGAAGACUGGAACAGAUAUUGAGAGUUGCCGAGUGAGUGUCGAUACGAGUAGAGCACCCCGAGGGUGUUCUUUCUUAACAGACAUAAAUGGUGGAUCAAGUGGCCAAUCCUUAAGAACAUGCAUCAAUAAUGGAAAUAAUAAGUUCACUUGUGGACCCUAUUAUUUUACUCCAAAUGCUUGUUCACCUCCACCACCACCAAGUCCUCCACCACCACCACCACCUAGAAGACCACCCCCACCACGACCAAGAAUGCCUCUACCACCACGACCAAGAACUCCACCUAGAACACAACCACCACCACUAUCACCAACACCAACACCUUCACUUUCACCAACACCAUCCCUAUCGUGACUACCAGUACCAACACCUCCAGCAUUGGCACCAGAAUCACCAGCAUCAGCACCAGGCCCAGCUCCUACACCAACAUCAUUGCUAUAAGUUCAUAAACAAUUUAACAUAAUAAAGACACGAAGCCCUUAAGUUC